UUCACCCCGCCGCCUUCCAGUUCUGCGCGCCUAGGUCCCAGCAGGGGUAGCACUGACCGCGUCUGGCUUUUCCAAUUUGGGCAAGAUGGGGCGGGGGCAGGCUUUUAAGGUUUUAGCGGGCUCCUAGGAAAGAUGCCGAACUUUCGCUUUUUGCUCGGGAUUUUUGUCGUUUGGUCUCGUGGUAUCGUCCUUUCUUGCGGGGGGGAGGACGUUGGGGAAGUGUUUAGGGGUGAGAUGAAAGGUGGGGCUUCGACCUUGCGAUUUCCUUCUCUGAGUCUCACUUUUCUUAGAAGACUUUUUCCUUCUCCAGUCUUUGAAACACGUCUCAAGGAAAAAAGGCAGUCUGAGAAACUGUACUGAUGUUUUCCUCCCGAAAAGUCUUUACGCGGACAACUUAACGGUUUUGACCUUUAGGAGAGAGCCAAUUCUGGAGAACAACCUAACUUCUUUGAUUGAACAUUCACAUAAUGCAAUGGAACAUGAUAGGAGAUUAAGGUUAAUAACAAUAAAAUGAAGAGCAUAAUAAAACAAGCCCCCUACUUAGCCCUGUGAUUCUUAUCUUUCUUACCUACUUGAUGAAGAUGUCUUUUGAACAGUGUACUGCAAGAUAUGAAAUGCUAUUCAUUCAUGAAAAAGUAAAUUAUGCUUUUUACCAAGCAUGGAGCGGCCUGAUGUAGGAUCUCACUUCCCAGUCCAGGGAUUGAACCUAGGCCACAGCCAUGAAAGCACCAAGUCCUAACCUCUAGGCCACCAGGGAACUCCCUCUUUAAUGUGAAUCUUAAUAUGGCCAUUUAUUUUACAUAUUAAGUUUUCAUUUUUUCCACCUUCUUUGGAAAAAAUUGCUAAUCUUUUCAUUCAGGUUUAAAUUGAUGCCAGGUAAUUCCAGUAUUGAGCAUCUUAAAUCUCUUACUUGGAAUAUGGAUUGAGUUUGGCGCUAACUCAGAGGACUACAGGCAAGUAUUCAGGACAUAGCCAGAGGGAUAUUUUUAUAGUUGAACAAUUCAAUUUGUAUACUAUGUAGAUCUCUUAAGAUCACGUAUAUUUAUAUGUGAAAGUAGAUUUGAAAUUUUGGUCGUAGACUAAAUACCAUAUUUAACAGUAAAGAUUUUUUUCCUUCAAUCAUGUAUCCUUUUAAUUGUUACAGAAUUAAAUACCAUAUUUAACAGUAAAGAUUUUUUUCCUUCAAUCAUGUAUCCUUUUAAUUGUUACAGAAUUAGCCAUCAAGUAUCAUUAUUGAUAUGUGUCCAGGUUAGCCAUACUGGAUUAAGAAGAUUAUAUUUGAAUAAACUAUGAUCUCUCUCUCUAAGUUAAUAUAUUUAUUUGUUUAGAAGUUAAUAUUCUAAAUCAUUUUUUUUCC